UGGUUUAGUGAGGACGUUGGACCGGCAGCCGGCGAGGUUUCCGAGCUGGCAAGUCGGGAAGACGUUCGAACUUGAUCA
rnacentral:pre_miRNA from 1 species